rnacentral:rRNA from 1 species
UACGUAGGUGACUAGCGUUGUCCGGAUUUACUGGGCGUAAAGAGCGCGCAGGCGGUCGUUCAAGUCGAGUGUGAAAGCCCCCGGCUCAACUGGGGAGGGUCAUUCGAUACUGAUCGACUCGAAGGCAGGAGAGGGAAGCGGAAUUCCCGGUGUAGUGGUGAAAUGCGUAGAUAUCGGGAGGAACACCAGUGGCGAAGGCGGCUUCCUGGACCGUUCUUGACGCUGAGGCGCGAAAGCUAGGGGAGCAAACGGG